rnacentral:rRNA from 1 species
GAUGAACGCUGGCGGCGUGCCUAAUACAUGCAAGUCGAGCGAACAGACGAGGAGCUUGCUCCUCUGACGUUAGCGGCGGACGGGUGAGUAACACGUGGAUAACCUACCUAUAAGACUGGGAUAACUUCGGGAAACCGGAGCUAAUACCGGAUAAUAUAUUGAACCGCAUGGUUCAAUAGUGAAAGACGGUUUUGCUGUCACUUAUAGAUGGAUCCGCGCCGCAUUAGCUAGUUGGUAAGGUAGCGGCUUACCAAGGCAACGAUGCGUAGCCGACCUGAGAGGGUGAUCGGCCACACUGGAACUGAGACACGGUCCAGACUCCUACGGGAGGCAGCAGUAGGGAAUCCUCCGCAAUGGGCGAAAGCCUGACGGAGCAACGCCGCGUGAGUGAUGAAGGUCUUCGGAUCGUAAAACUCUGUUAUUAGGGAAGAACAAAUGUGUAAGUAACUAUGCACGUCUUGACGGUACCUAAUCAGAAAGCCACGGCUAACUACGUG